GUUAUUUUCGUCACCGCAUACCAGGAGAACUGCAGGAAAAUACCUUUUAAAUCCGAAGCCGAGAUUGAGAAUAUACCUAUUCAAACCCCCGCUACAGACAAUUGGGCGGAGGAGCGAGAGAAUAUACCUAUUCAAACCCCCGCUACAGACAAUCGGACGGAGGAGCGAGAGAAUAUACCCAUUCAAACCCCCGCUAUAGACGAUAGGGCGGAGGAGCGAGAGAAUAUACCAACCGAUACAGAAAAUCAGGCGGAGGAACCA